rnacentral:rRNA from 1 species
UUUGAUUUCCAGAACGAUAUGACCGUAUCGCGAGUGAACCAACGCACCAUUAGUCAAGCUAGACAGCUGUUCAUGAAGGUGCUUGCGAUGCGUCUCGCACGGCGGAUUGACGAACUUGUUGGCCUGGCCCAGUCUGCGUUCAUCAAAGGCCGCUGCAUCCAGGACAACUUCAUGUUCGCCCGAGGGAUGGCACACCACUUCCACCGUGUCAAGCGCGCCAUGCUUUUCGUCAAGCUCGACAUCGCCAAAGCUUUCGACAGCGUCUCCUGGCCAUAUCUGCUUGACAUGCUCCGUGCUCGAGGUUUUGGUCCGAGAUGGUGCAAUUGGAUCUCCAUGCUCCUUGCCACCUCCCCGUCGCGUGUUCUGAUCAAUGGGGUGCCUGGCCGACCCAUAAUCCACUGUUGCGGCUUG